rnacentral:rRNA from 1 species
GACGAACGCUGGCGGCGUGCUUAACACAUGCAAGUCGAACGGUAAGGCCCUUCGGGGUACACGAGUGGCGAACGGGUGAGUAACACGUGGGUGAUCUGCCCUGCACUUCGGGAUAAGCCUGGGAAACUGGGUCUAAUACCGGAUAGGACGCCGGACUGCAUGGUCUGGGGUGGAGAGCUUUUGCGGUGUGGGAUGGGGACGCGGCCUAUCAGCUUGUUGGUGGGGUGAUGGCCGACCAAGGCGACGACGGGUAGCCGGCCUGAGAGGGUGACCGGCCACACUGGGACUGAGAUACGAGCCAGACGCCUACGGGAGGCAGGAGUGGGGAAUAUUGCACAAUGGCGCAAGCCUGAUGCAGCGACGCCGCGUGAGGGAUGACGGCCUUCGGGUUGUAAACCUCUUUCAGCAUCGACGAAGCGAAAGUGACGGUAGGUGCAGAAGAAGGACCGGCCAACUACGUGCCAGCCGCCGCGGUAA